rnacentral:misc_RNA from 1 species
GAUGAAGAACGUAGUGAAAUGCGAUAAGUAAUGUGAAUUGCAGAAUUCCGUGAAUCAUCGAAUCUUUGAACGCACAUUGCGCCCCCUGGCAUUCCGGGGGGCAUGCCUGUCCGAGCGUCAUUGCUGCCCUUCAAGCCCGGCUUGUGUGUUGGGUCGUCGUCCCCCCCGGGGGACGGGCCCGAAAGGUAGCGGCGGCACCGCGUCCGGUCCUCGAGCGUAUGGGGCUUUGUCACCCGCUCGAUUAGGGCCGGCCGGGCGCCAGCCGGCGUCUCCAACCUUCUAUUUUACCAGGUUGACCUCGGAUCAGGUAGGGAUACCCGCUGAACUUAAGCAUAUCAAUAAGCGGAGGA